UCUCCAUUCCAUCGCCUCUUGAUCCAGCUGAGUUCUUCCUUCAUGGCGCCCGUCGCCCCUGCAGCAGACCCUUCAAAUUUAUUGCAGAAGCUGUCUUUGGAUCCUCAGCCGAAGUCUAAAGAUGCUGUUGAAGCCACCAAGCAGGUUUCUGUUGCCCAUACUGGAUCGAGUAAU